ensembl:lncRNA
CCAGAAUCCUCUUGACUCACUUCCCACCUUUACCUGUGACUAUGUCAAAGAAAGGCCCCCCUGAUCUAUAUCUCUCCCCCUCCCACCUUCUCUUUCUGCCGUCACCUUGCCCCACUCUCUCUCAAUAAACCUCACGUGGAACUGUUUGGCCUGGUGCGGUCCUUCUGAAGCUGUGUGACAAUCAAGAUCAUAAUAAGCUCCGCAAAUGCCUGUUGUCACUAGGAUCAGAAAGUGGAAGAGCUGUGUGAAGAGGGAAGAAAAGAUUUGAGUUGGCUGAGAUCCCAUUAGCACACUAGCUGGAGAUAAGCCAUCUGUCCCAGCUGCUGUGCCUUCAACUGCCACUCCGACUGACAAUGAACCCAGAGACCUGUAAUAAUUGUGACUUGGUCAGCCCGCCCAGGAUUUUCCCAUCCGGCUCUGCGAGGCCGUGCCGGUGCCAGGAGCCCUCGGUGUGAUGGGAGUACCAGCUCUCCAAACACCUGUCAGCACCUCUCAGGGAUGGCCAGAUAUUGGUUAUUAAGCACACUAUUAAAGAUGGAGUCACAGGCCUUCUGUACACUAAGCUACUGCUCUACCGCUGAGAUACUUCCUCAGUCUGAGCUACAUCCCAGACAUAGCUGUUUUCACAUAACUGAUUGAGAAGGGAACACUAACUUAUAGAACCUCACCACCUGUUUCACAAAAAAAGACCUCAGUGGUCUACGUGUUGCCAGGGCACUAAGAAGCCACCUACUCUGACCCACUGGAGGUCACAGCUUGGGUUUCCUCUCCAGCCUCCCAGCCAGCAAGGAUAUUCAACCAAUAGCAAAAGGACAGCAAACAUGAGGAGAAAGCACAGACCCUGUUAAUCAGCUGCAUGGGAUAUUAUCUUCUUGUUUCUUUUCCUCAGGAAUUUUGUUCUUUAGGUGCUGGAUCUGUUAUUAUCUUCACACAGCACUGAUGAUAUUUUCCAUAUUUUAAAGGAAGUGCUUGAAAUCUCAAAAUCUAUGCAAACAGAUAUUGAAAUUAAAAUAAGUGGUGCUCAUAUAACUUGGUCAAGAGACAUAUGAGUGUUGGUCUCCAGACUUAGAUGGAAAUCUCAGAAGCAGACAUCUGAACAUAAUUAGUGCAAAGCUCCCUCCAGGCAUCUUUCAAUGAGCAUAUAGAGUAACACAGAAGAAAAUUAAAAGCAUCAUUCUGAUGGUCUUUUCCAAAGUAGGAUCUAACAGGCAAUGGUCAGAGUGGUUCUGCUCCAACAGGACUAAUGUCAUUAUUAAAAGAAAAACAAAACAAAAAACUGAUGACAAACUUGGACCAUGAAGACUCAAGAGAGAAAUAGAUUUUAAAAAUAUGUUGAGCCUUCAUCUUUUAGACAGUUAAAUUUCCCUACAGAUCCAUGAUAGAGUUGUCUCUUAAAUCUCUGUAUUUCUAUUACAAAAACUGAAAAACAGAAAACCAAGAAAAUGAGAAGAGUAAUGGAGUCAGUCUUCUACUAUACAUGGCUCUAUGCUAGGAAGUAGUCGUUUAGAAGUGGCAUGAACAAGAAAAAAAAAAGCAUAGCAUAUUUGCUAGAAAACUGCCUUUGGAGCAAUCCAUUGACAAUCCAGGACCAGUCCAAAGAAAGAGGAGCUCAAAGCAAAGGAUAGAUUUGCCAUAGAAU